rnacentral:rRNA from 1 species
AGAGUUUGAUCCUGGCUCAGAUUGAACGCUGGCGGCAGGCCUAACACAUGCAAGUCGAGCGGAAACGACACUAACAAUCCUUCGGGGGCGUUAAUGGGCGUCGAGCGGCGGACGGGUGAGUAAUGCCUAGGAAAUUGCCUUGAUGUGGGGGAUAACCAUUGGAAACGAUGGCUAAUACCGCAUAAUGCCUACGGGCCAAAGAGGGGGAUCUUCGGACCUCUCGCGUCAAGAUAUGCCUAGGUGGGAUUAGCUAGUUGGUGAGGUAAUGGCUCACCAAGCGACGAUCCUAACUGGUCUGAGAGGAUGAUCAGCCCACACUGGAACUGAGACACGGUCCAGACUUCUACGGGAGGCAACAGUGGGGGAUAUUGCNCAAUGGGGCAAAAGCCCUGAUGCAACCAUUCCCCC